rnacentral:rRNA from 1 species
UACGUAGGGGGCUAGCGUUGUCCGGAUUUAUUGGGCGUAAAGGGCGCGUAGGCGGCUUUAUAAGUCGGGGGUGAAAGCCUGUGGCUCAACCACAGAAUUGCCUUCGAUACUGUAGAGCUUGAGACCGGAAGAGGUAAGUGGAACUGCGAGUGUAGAGGUGAAAUUCGUAGAUAUUCGCAAGAACACCAGUGGCGAAGGCGGCUUACUGGUCCGGUUCUGACGCUGAGGCGCGAAAGCGUGGGGAGCAAACAGG